GAGCUCAAAUUUGAAAUCUGGUGGCCUCAGGUCAUCCGAGUUGUAAUCUAUAGAAGUGUUUUCCGUGCUGGCUCAUGUACAAGUCCCUUGGAACAGGGCGUCAUAGAGGGUGAGAAUCCCGUCCUUGACAUGAACUACCAGUGCUCUGUGAUACAUUUUCAACGAGUCGAGUUGUUUGGGAAUGCAGCUCAAAAUGGGUGGUAAAUUCCAUCUAAAGCUAAAUAUUGGCGAGAGACCGAUAGCGAACAAGUACCGUGAGGGAAAGAUGAAAAGCACUUUGGAAAGAGAGUUAAACAGUAUGUGAAAUUGUUGAAAGGGAAACGAUUGAAGUCAGUCGUGCUCUUUGGAUUCAGCCGGUUCUGCCGGUGUACUUCCUUUGAGUGGGGUCAACAUCAGUUUUGAUCGCUGGAUAAAGGCUGGAGGAACGUAGUACCCUCGGGUAAACUUAUAGCCUCCUGUCACAUACAGUGGUUGGGACUGAGGAACGCAGCACGCCUUUAUGGCCGGGAUUCGUCCACGUACGUGCUUAGGAUGUUGACAUAAUGGCUUUAAACGACCCGUCUU
rnacentral:rRNA from 2 species